UGCUUUGUUUGUUUUCUAUAUUGCUGCUAAGCCUCCCCCUCCUAACAUCUUUAUUAAGAUUGGAGGAAUUGGAGGGUUCAGAUUAGCCGAGGGAGUGGACGGCUCUGGUGCAUCGACGAAAAUAUUAAGCUGCAAUUGUUCAAUUGAUUUAAUAAUAGAAAAUAAGUCCAAGCUAUUUGGUCUUCACAUCAAUCCUCCAUUCAUUCAAUUGCUUUUUGGCCAUCUCCCUUUUGCAGUGUCAUAGAUGGAGGGUGGAGAAGUAUAUGGAGAGAGUGAUGAGACAACAAUAUUCAAUUUCAAAAUUGGGACAAGAAAUAAGGCAAUGUAUGGUGCAGGAAGAAACAUGCAAGACUUACUAGAAUCUGGUCAAGGAUUGCCUUUGCUUGUUAAAGUUAAAUUAAGAUCAAGUUUUCAUGUAAUUUGGGGAAUAUUCCAACCUAAAUUUCAUCAUCAACUCCAAUGUUUGGUUGUCUUGGCUGAUAAAUAUGACAAGAUACAUAGGACCCAAGUUUAUAAUAGCACUUGUAUAAGUAAUUUAUUAUAAUUAAUUCCUAGUAGUAUUAAAUAUUGUCAUCUAUACAAUUGUUCUUAUUAUUACAUUAUUAUGUAUAGGAUUGUUUAAUUAAGUAUUGUAUUUCAAAGAAUAAAAAAAAAAGGGAAGGAUUUGAGAGUUCUUAAGGGAAACUAUGUAUUUGUAGAAAAUAUAAAAGACGUUUUUUUUUUGGA